rnacentral:tRNA from 2 species
GAUUGGUUGAUGCCUCUGGGAGCGCGGGUGUGUUAUCCCGUGGCGUAGGCCUUCGUGGGUUCGAAUCCCACCCCCCGCACCA